GAUGAACGCUAGCGAUAGGCUUAACACAUGCAAGUCGAGGGGCAGCAUGGUCUUCGGACCGAUGGCGACCGGCGCACGGGUGAGUAACACGUAUACAAUCUGCCCAUAACACGGGGAUAGCCCGGAGAAAUCCGGAUUAAUACCCGAUAAUGCAGGGGUCCCGCAUGGGAAUAUUUGCUAAAGAAUUUCGGUUAUGGAUGAGUAUGCGCAGGAUUAGGUAGUUGGUUGAGGUAACGGCUCACCAAGCCCACGAUCCUUAGGGGAACUGAGAGGUUUAUCCCCCACACUGGUACUGAGACACGGACCAGACUCCUACGGGAGGCAGCAGUGAGGAAUAUUGGUCAAUGGGCGAGAGCCUGGACCAGCCAAAUCGCGUGAAGGACGACGGUAUUAUGUAUUGUAAACUUCUUUUAUACAGGAAUAACAAAAACUACGCGUAGUUUUCUGCAUGUACUGUAUGAAUAAGCAUCGGCUAACUCCGUGCCAGCAGCCGCGGUAAUACGGAGGAUGCGAGCGUUAUCCGGAUUUAUUGGGUUUAAAGGGUGCGUAGGUGGAAUAAUAAGUCAGCGGUGAAAUCCCGGAGCUCAACUUCGGAACUGCCGUUGAAACUGUUAUUCUUGAGUGUGAACGAGGUAGGCGGAAUUCGUAGUGUAGCGGUGAAAUGCAUAGAUAUUACGAAGAACUCCGAUAGCGCAGGCAGCUUACCAGGCCACAACUGACACUGAAGCACGAAAGUGUGGGUAUCAAACAGGAUUAGAUACCCUGGUAGUCCACACAGUAAACGAUGAAUACUAACUGUUUGCGAUACAUUGUAAGCGGUACAGCGAAAGCGUUAAGUAUUCCACCUGGGGAGUACGCCGGCAACGGUGAAACUCAAAGGAAUUGACGGGGGCCCGCACAAGCGGAGGAACAUGUGGUUUAAUUCGAUGAUACGCGAGGAACCUUACCCGGGCUUGAAAUGCAGAGGAAAGAUGUUGAAAGAUGUCCGCCAGCAAUGGUCUCUGUGUAGGUGCUGCAUGGUUGUCGUCAGCUCGUGCCGUGAGGUGUCGGCUUAAGUGCCAUAACGAGCGCAACCCUUGUCGUUAGUUACUAACAGGUUAUGCUGAGGACUCUAGCGAGACUGCCACCGUAAGGUGUGAGGAAGGUGGGGAUGACGUCAAAUCAGCACGGCCCUUACGUCCGGGGCGACACACGUGUUACAAUGGGGGGUACAGAGGGUUGCUACCUAGUGAUAGGAUGCUAAUCUCUAAAGCCUCUCUCAGUUCGGAUCGGAGUCUGCAACUCGACUCCGUGAAGCUGGAUUCGCUAGUAAUCGCGCAUCAGCCAUGGCGCGGUGAAUACGUUCCCGGGCCUUGUACACACCGCCCGUCAAGCCAUGGAAGCCGGGGGUACCUGAAGUACGUGACCGUAUAGGAGCGUCCUAGGGUAAAACUGGUAACUGGGGCU
rnacentral:rRNA from 1 species